CGAAACGAAUAGUUUGGCGGUUCUCGUUGCGAAGUCAGUGGUCCCUUUCCAGCCGCGCAAGGAGUGCUAGUUCUAUAUAAUCCUGUGUGUGCCUGGCAGAUCAGGCAGAUGAUAUGAUGAUUAUGUGCACGCCUGCGGAUGAAUGAAACAUUUGAAAGACAAAGUGAUCGUUGUGAGCAGAUCGAUAACGCCAUAUCGACUCUACCAGUGAAACGUGGACACAGCACAUGCUGUGGAUGCCGCAUUCCCAGUUACGGUUGCGAGCACUACCGGGACGCAAGCCACCCUGCGGGUCGCGACACGGCAUCACACGCAGUCUCUGCAGUGAGUGCUGCGCAGUGUGCUGUGAAUCAGGGCCGAGACGCUACGUGGCAGUGGCUUGACGUGGUGCUAGCCCUAGCUAGUACAUUGUAUCCACCCGAGAACACAAGCACAGUAGAUCUACUACUAGCACUCCAGCCAGUCCUGGAACAUUGCUCUGACUUUAGCCACCAAGCCAGCCAACCUGGGGAGAUGAGCAACAUCAGCGCCCACCGCCUCAGUCAAUCUUCGCCCGCCAAGCCGACUGGUUUAGCACCCUGGCAACAGGAGCUUCAGGCAAAAAGGGACAAAAGUAACACCAGUGCCCGCCCCCUCAGUCAACCUUCGCCCGCCAAGCCGACUGGUUUAGCACCCUGGAGAGAGGAGCUUCAGACAAAAAGGGACAAAAGCAAAUCCAGUGCCCGCCCCCUCACUCAACAUUCGCCCGCCAAGCCGACUGGUUUAGCACCUUA